AUUGAACGCUGGCGGCAGGCUUAACACAUGCAAGUCGAACGAGUGGCGGACGGGUGAGUAAUGCUUGGGAAUCUAGCUUAUGGAGGGGGAUAACUACGGGAAACUGUAGCUAAUACCGCGUACCAUAGGAUGAGCCCAAGUGGGAUUAGGUAGUUGGUGAGGUAAAGGCUCACCAAGCCGACGAUCUCUAGCUGGUCUGAGAGGAUGACCGGCCGCAAUGGAACUGAGACACGGCCCAGACACCUACGGGAGGCAGCAGUGGGGAAUAUUGCGCAAUGGGGGCAACCUGACGCAGCCAUGCCGCGUGAAUGAAGAAGGCCUUCGGGUUGUAAGGUACUUUCGGUGGCGAGGCGUUAACAACAGAAGAAGCACCGGCUAACUCCGUGCCAGCAGCCGCGGUAAUAC
rnacentral:rRNA from 1 species